AUUUGCUAAUACUUUGACCAACAACGAUGUUCUUUGAUGUGGAUAAGACAGUCUAGGUACAUUGGAAGGAACAAAAGUUGACUCUGUACUCAUUGCAUUUAACUGAUCAGAAAAUGGAAACAAAUCCAAUACCCAUCCAGCUGCUGCAAAAGGGUCAUAUUCCAAAGUAGCAUCUUCUUCACGUAUUGGAAGGUCAGAUGAGCACCAAGUAGAAAGGAACUCUCCAUGCGUGACAGAAAAGAUUCCCGUCAAAAUUUCAGUCUCAAGAGCAAUA
rnacentral:misc_RNA from 1 species